UCAAGUUAGUGAAGAAGGAAUCUUUGA
rnacentral:piRNA from 1 species